AGUACAACGGAGGUGCCUGGGCUGUUGCUGACCUCAAGGUCGUGCACGCCCGGAGCGCUCUCUCACAUCCAUCUCACCCCUUUGUGCAUCAUCGCGUGGGGCCCUCUCCUUUGGCUUGUUCCGGAAGGGGGGGGGGGGUUCACGUUUUUACAUGAACAACCCAUUAAUGCAUGUGUAGAAUGUCUUACUUUUGCGGUCACACGCAAUCAAUACAACUUUCAACAACGGAUCUCUUGGCUCUCGCAUCGAUGAAGAACGCAGCGAAAUGCGAUACGUAAUGUGAAUUGCAGAAUUCAGUGAAUCAUCGAAUCUUUGAACGCACCUUGCGCCCCUUGGUAUUCCGAGGGGUGCACCCGUUUGAGUGUCGUGAACACCCUCAACCUUCUUGGUUUAUCGACCGGGAAGGCUUGGACUUUGGAGGUUUUUGUUGCUGGCCUCGUUUGAAGCCAGCUCCUCCUAAACGAAUUAGUGGGGUCCGCCGUGCCGACCCUCGACGUGAUAAGUACGCUUCUACGUCUUGGGGUUUCGCACUGUCGCCUGCUUCCAACCGUCUUCGAAUGAAGACAACCUUAUAGACCUUGACCUCAAAUCGGGUG
rnacentral:rRNA from 1 species